GAUGAACGCUAGCAGCAGGCCUAACACAUGCAAGUCGAGGGGUAGAGUUCUUCGGGACUUGAGACCGGCGCACGGGUGCGUAACGCGUAUGCAAUCUACCUUAUACAGGGGAAUAGCCCAGAGAAAUUUGGAUUAAUGCCCCAUAGUGUUAUCGAAUCGCAUGGUUUGAUAACUAAAGUUCCAAACGGUAUAAGAUGAGCAUGCGUCCAUUAGUUAGUUGGUAAGGUAACGGCUUUACCAAGACAAUGAUGGGUA
rnacentral:rRNA from 1 species